rnacentral:rRNA from 1 species
AACGAACGCUGGCGGCAUGCCUAACACAUGCAAGUCGAACGAGACCUUCGGGUCUAGUGGCGCACGGGUGCGUAACGCGUGGGAACCUGCCCUUAGGUUCGGAAUAACUCCCCGAAAGGGGUGCUAAUACCGGAUAAUUUCUUCGGACCAAAGAUUUAUCGCCUUUGGAUGGGCCCGCGUUGGAUUAGCUAGUUGGUAGGGUAAAAGCCUACCAAGGCGACGAUCCAUAGCUGGUCUGAGAGGAUGAUCAGCCACACUGGGACUGAGACACGGCCCAGACUCCUACGGGAGGCAGCAGUGGGGAAUAUUGGACAAUGGGCGAAAGCCUGAUCCAGCAAUGCCGCGUGAGUGAUGAAGGCCUUAGGGUUGUAAAGCUCUUUUACCCGGGAUGAUAAUGACAGUACCGGGAGAAUAAGCGCCGGCUAACUCCGUG